rnacentral:lncRNA from 1 species
ACGCCGCGUGCGUCUCCCGAGAGGCCUCGACGCUGGCCACGUCGAGGGCGCUAGGGACGCUCGUCGUGGAGCCUCACCGGCAGCUAGCCGGCGCCAAGGCUCUGCCUUCGCCAUGCUGCCGGCGUUGGAAGCCAUGGACCACGGUGACCGGGGCGAGCAGUAGCGGCGGGGACGUGGAGGCGCUCCGGCGGCGAGGCGACGCGCGGAGCGGAGGUUACGGAGUCCCCCUGCCCAGGGUCGGGGCCUCGGGGGUGGACG